rnacentral:rRNA from 1 species
UAGGGAAUAUUGCUUAAUGGGCGAAAGCCUGAAGCAGCAACGCCGCGUGUGUGAAGAAGGCCUUCGGGUUGUAAAACACUUUUUGAGGGGAUGAGGAAGGACAGUACCCUCAGAAUAAGCCUCGGCUAACUACGUGCCAGCAGCCGCGGUAAAACGUAGGAGGCGAGCGUUAUCCGGACUUACUGGGCGUAAAGCGCGUGCAGGCGGCACGGCAAGUUGGAUGUGAAAGCUCCCGGCUUAACUGGGAGAGGUCGUUCAAAACUGCCGAGCUAGAGUGCGGGAGAGGGAGGUGGAAUUCCGGGUGUAGUGGUGAAAUGCGUAGAUAUCCGGAGGAACACCAGUGGCGAAGGCGGCCUUCUGGACCAUCACUGACGCUCAGACGCGAAAGCUAGGGUAGCAAACGG